CAAAACGGACCCGCGCUCAAGCCGCCACAUCCGCCUGACAGUCAGCCUCCGUUUUGGAUACGGGCACAGAACACAUUUCGCCUCCGUUAACGCGCCUUCAUACGGCGGAUCCACGCCGGUCCCUUUGCGGAUGCGCACAUCGAACGCGCCCUUCAAAUCUGCUAACGGUUUCCUUCCUCAGUUUUUUCGCUGAUGGAGUGCGGAGGCGAAACAGCGGUGUCUGCGGGCUCACUGUCAUUCACAAGUGGCUCCAGUCUGGUUUGGGGGUCUACCCUUUCUUAUCAUGUCCUGCCACCCAAUAAAGCCAUUCACAAGUGGCUCCAGCCUGGUUUGGGGGUCUAGCCUUUCUUAUCCUGUCCUGCCACCCAAUAAAGCCAUUCACAAGUGGCUCCAGCCUGGUUUGGGGGUCUAGCCUUUCUCAUCCUGUCCUGCCACCCAAUAAAGCCAUUCACAAGUGGCUCCAGCCUGGUUUGGGGGUCUAGCCUUUCUCAUCCUGUCCUGCCACCCAAUAAAAAGAGAAAUUACUAAAGGCCUCUGCAACUGCUUUUACCAGAUGCUGUGAGAGAGUAAUGCCCUGUGCCGCGGCUUCUGAUUCAGUACAGCAGUUCAACCAGCCCAGCAAACAGGAAAAGCUCAAGGAGGUGUCUUAACUAUCAGCAUUCCUACCCAAACAGAUCAACCUACUGUUAUGUCCAACUAAGAGAAACAAUGGUCUGGUAUGAAGGUUAUCGGUGUUUUGAAACAUAAAUAUUCAUUAAAUAAUAAUAAAAAUGUUUGACACUA